UGCUGCUUGAAUCUGUUUGCAGAUGCAGUGAAAUGGGCCAGUAGCCAGUGUUUUCUGCCCUCCCUCUCCUGCACUCCCCGCUUUGGUGGCGGAUUCCCCAGGGAUGAGGCGUCUGUCUUCCUGGCUGUAUGAUUGCACACCGCACGAUCGGAAUCUUUCCAUAAUCUCUGAUUCACUUUUUCUGCCCUUCCAGUGGAGUCAGAUGAAGUCGGUGUCUGGAAUCCUUAGAGAAGCAUGAAAAUACAGUGUACAUACUGUUAUGUAUGUGUGUGAAAUGUUUUAUAAUCAAGAGUGUGUGGUGAGGCCAUGAUAAUAAUAUUUAGAAUAUAGCAAGUUCCUAUUGCCUUGAGAGGUAAAACAUAAUUGGCCUGUAUACUUUCUUCUUUCAUGGGCUUUUCAUUGGCAUUGCAAUGGUUUAACUUUUGGCUUCAAAGCCUGGAAGGAAAUGCUGGGAUCUGUUUACAUAGACAUUUACAAGGAAUGGAAACGUUUCUAUAGUCUAAGCACUGCUCCUUGAGCUAUAAUGUUUUAAUCUUGAGGUUAUUAUUUUUUUAAUGACAAGUUCUGUAUUGGCUCCCUUUGGAUAAUAAAGGCAUCUCAAAAUGCAUUGAAGAUAUUUACAAAGCUUUUCCACGACCUCAUUUGAAAAAUGGGGUUUGUCCCACAGGUCACAUUUCCUGUCCCACCUUCCACCUGCCCACGGAAGCUUGUGGCUGUCCAGGAGUGAAACACUCGACAUUGUAACUUUGAAAAAUUUUGUAGCAACUUAAACAGAUUGAAGAAAGGAUGAGUCCUCAGGCAUUUGGAUUCUUUUCCUGUUUCUUUUCCUUUUCUUUUUUUCUUUAUAUGCAAAUAAUAAUUAUUAGUCCAAGUCAAUCUGUUAAAAAAGCGUUCUCAUCAGUCACAAGCAAGACGCAGUCCCCUCGUUCAGUGUCAUCUGGUAAGAACUCAUCACACACCCUCACCCCCGUUCUCAGCAUCGUGCCAGGCUGGGCAAAUAGUAGGAAUGUCCAGUUCUCUGUUAUUCCCAGGUGGUGCUGGCUGAUUUUUAUCCCUAACAACCAGAUAAAUGUGCUGGUAGAAACACGACUGGGACCUCUGAGUCACACACUGUCUCCAUCUGCACCUUCUCCAGCUGCAGUUAACCGUUUCCUGUUGCUCCAGAGAUGUCUUCGUGUCCCUGCCUUUGGGUCUUUGGAUGGCCUGUUACAUGCAUCCCUACUUGCAGGUGGGACAGAAAGACCGGUCUGGGGCUGCCCUUCUCCCCUCAACACACACGUGAAGCAGCUUUUUCUUUGCAGUGACUGCACACAGGAGGCCCGGCCAGUCUGGUCAGCUCCAUCCUUACGGUGACUCCCUGGUUCGGGCUUCACAUCCAGACUGCUGCUGCCACAGCCCAAGUUCUCCUCCUGCGCCCCCUCAGAUGCAUUCCCCGCACAGCCGCCGGGGCUCUGAUGUGACCAAGGGCGCUGACCGCCGAUGCUGGCCGCCACCUUCACCAGGGUUCCCAGCGCCUCAUCCAUGACCCACGUCCAGAGACCGUGGCCGGUCCUUCCGAGAGCGCAGCUGAUCCACGUGAGAGGUCAGAGCAGAAGCCGGAAGGGAUACAAAGAAUUGCUGUCAUUUGAAAAUAGCUGGGACCCAACACACAUUACCAAAAAAAGUUAUACAAGAAAGUAUUUACAAGACAAAAGUGGAAAAGGGAUUGCAACAUGGAAAAGAAAGCACAAAGCUCACACUCGGAAAAUGAGAGCUCUGCUGUUGCGGGGCGGGGGGAGCAACACUUUAUCCAGCCUGCUGUUCCUAGAUCCGCCAGCAGGUGGCGGCACAGAGCAAUGUCCCUUUUAUUCGCCCAGGCUUUUUUUUUUUAUAGAGCCCAUCGUAAAAUAUAAAAAAGUAAAGGAGAAAACAAAACCGAUCAUUCCGCUGCCCUGAAAUGACCGCCCUUACUUCUUCCUAGUCUUUGUAAAUGUACAUAGUUGAGAUGAUGCCGUAUGUGCGGUUUACCCCAACUUUACAUCUCAAGCACAUCCUAAUACUCUUCAGAAUUCUGUGACCUUUUAGUUUAAUGGCUGUCUAAUGCCCCAUCGUAUGACUGUCCACACUUAUUCCUUUAUGUUGUCAUUUUGGGGUGGUUUUGUCUCGUUAAGAUGAGAUGUAGAUGGGAUAACCAGUGAAGCUUUGUCAAAUUCGACUGAAAGCAGGUUUAGGGAGCGGGUCCUGCGGCAGGUGGGGGGAGGGGGACCGGAAGCCCGUGGAGGCCAAGCUCCAGGCGCACAGGAGAGAGGAGGGAGGGCAAGGAGACAGCUUCAGGUGGACCCACACAAACACCUCAACUGACAUCGGUUUUUAGAGGGAGUGGGGUUGGUGGAACACGUGUGUUACAUUUUCUACCAUCGCGAAUAACAAUGUGCAAUGACAUUUGACGGUCUGUAGACUUGUUAAAAUUGCUUUCAUAAGCCAGCAAGGGUGUGGAGGGUUCAAGACCCAAUUUGAAAGAGGGAUGUGAUGUUUAUCGAGAAAAACGAGGUAGAAGUGGGGCCUGGCCUUUGACCUGAGCCGUGACAGUAGGAUUUGCUUGGCCUGCAUGAGGAAGGCCUAUGGGAAAGCAUUUGUAACAUCCCCCAGAAAGGUGAUUGACUUGGUAACAUGGACAGGCCAAGGGCUUCCUGAGAAGAGCACUGGGGAAUAUUUACACUCAGCAGCCACCCAGGAGCUGCCACAGGGCCUUUUCUGGCCUGAGAACGUCAACCUCAGGGUGAACGCAGGCAUUUCAGCCGGCCUCGUGGUGUGAGCUAAACCCCUUUUUCCUUCUUCCCCGUCUCUGGAAGACUCAGAGCAUACUUAAGGGUGGGUGGCAUCCCGGGGGGCACAUGAAACAACAUGAAAAACACCGCAGAGUGGUGAUUACCUCUUGUUCAGGGUUCACUGCUCCAGGCGUUCCUCGCCCGGUUACCAGGAUGGCCUGAGGACCAGUGGUACUGCUGGCAGGAUCAGGGUGCCUCUCCAGGCUCUGCAGUUAGCAGAAUCCAACUCACAUCCAGAAGUGUGGCUGGAAGGGAGCCCAGGAAACGUGGUUUAUAAUCUUCCUGGUACUGCAGUGUAGGAAAUCCCAUAAAGAGGAGGUGGCGUUCGAGUCCACACACCCACCAUACUCGGUGUUGCUGGAAUACCUUAGCAAAUCUACCACCUGGGACCCCCACAGCCCCAGGGGCUAGUCACUAAUGCCUGUAAAAUAAUCCCCCCAAAGGAGAAUCAUUUCAGUGUUCUUUGGACUUCAAAAGUAGCCAAAGAAUUCAAGUGACAGCUUAUGGCAGAAAAUCUUUUUCAGUUAUUGAAAUUAGGGCAUAACUAAGAACAUUCAGAAUACCACACACACAGUUUAGGUGGUCUUGGUAUAACUGGUAGGGGUGGGACAGCAGUGACUGCAAAAUGAAAGUAGUUAGCAUGUACAUGCUCUGUUAGGGGAGACUAAGGGGAAACAGGUGUUCAGCCUAGAAAAACAUUCUAGUGGAUUUCCUAUGAAGUCAAUGUGUCCUGAGUUUAAUUUUGAAACAAAUUUAAAAAUUGAAAUAAAUUAAUUAAUUAAUUAAAAUCUACCACCUGGGAAAGUGCCUGAUUCCCACACACCAUCACCAGAGCUGUGCUACCACAUUCUUAAUUUCUGCUAACUUGAUACACCAUCUCACUGUUGUAAUCCUGCACUUCUUUAAUUAUGGAUCAGAUUGAAGAGCUUUAGAUUGAUUUACUGGCCAUUUACAUUUUUUCAGUUUUUAUCAGCAUUUGUUAGCUAUGACCUAGUCCACAACAAACUACCACAAAAUUCAGUGGCUUAGAAAACAACUGUUGAUUUCUCCAGAGGCUUCGGGUCCUCCGGUGGUUUGCUGAUCCUACCUGAGCCGGGUGGGUGGCGUCCUGUCGCUUGAGCCAGCCGUGCAGGAUGGAGUCGGCUCUGCUUUGUGUGGGUCCCUUCCUCAGUCAGGCUGGCCCAGGCUUGCUCUCCUGACAGCGGCAGGGAUUGGACAGAGGAAAAAGAGACUCCAGUGCCCUUCUGUCUCUGCCCUGUGUGUGCAGACACUCCCAUCCCAUCAGCCAAAGCAAGUCCUCCUGCCAAGCAGAGCAUGCGCCAGAGGGCACCACCCAGAGCCUGGAUACUGGGAGGCCAUUGACUGAGACCACUGGUGAAAUCAACAUCUUGCAUUAUAUUUGACCGUUGUUUUGUUUGUCUUGAUUUGUGAGAGCCUUUUUUAUACUGAGUGAAUUAGCUCUACAC
ensembl:lncRNA